rnacentral:rRNA from 1 species
CAGAGACUGCGAGCGUUAUUCGGAUUCACUGGGCGUAAAGGGUGCGCAGGCGGCUGAGUGUGUCAGGUGUGAAAGCCCGAGGCUUAACCUCGGAAUUGCGCCUGAAACUACUCAGCUAGAGUAUUGGAGAGGGUAGCGGAAUUCACGGUGUAGCAGUGAAAUGCGUAGAUAUCGUGAGGAACACCAGAGGCGAAGGCGGCUACCUGGACAAUUACUGACGCUCAGGCACGAAAGCGUGGGGAGCAAAAGGGAUUAGAUACCCCUGUAGUCCACGCCCUAAACGGUGCACACUAGGUCUUGCCGGAUUCGACCCCUGCAGGGCCCAAGCUAACGCGUUAAGUGUGCCGCCUGAGGACUACGGCCGCAAGGCUA